rnacentral:tRNA from 1 species
UCCCUGGUGGUCCAGUGGCUAAGGCUCCAGACUCCCAAUGCAGGGGGCCUGGGUUCGAUCCCUAGUCAGGGAA